GAUGAACGCUGGCGGCGUGCCUAAUACAUGCAAGUCGAGCGAACGGACGAGAAGCUUGCUUCUCUGAUGUUAGCGGCGGACGUGUGAGUAACACGUGGAUACCCUCCCUAUAAUACUGGGAUAAUUUCGGGACACCGGAGCUAAUACCGGAUGAUAUUUUGAUGCGUAUUGUUCAAAAGUGAAAGACGGUCUUGCGGUCUCUUAUAGAUGGAUCCGCGCUUCAUUAGCUAGUUGGUAAGGUCACGGCUUACCAAGGCAACGAUGCAUAGCCGAGGUGAGAGAGGGAUCGGCCACACUGGAACUGAGACACGGUCCAGACUCCUACGGGAGGCAGCAGUAGGGAAUCGUCCGCAAUGGGCGAAAGCCUGACGGAGCAACGCCGCGUGAGUGAUGAAGGUCUUCGGAGCGUAAAACUCUGUUAUUAGGGAAGAACAGAUGUGUAAGUAACUGUGCACAGCGUGACGGUACCUAAUCAGAAAGCAACGGCUAACUACGUG
rnacentral:rRNA from 1 species